rnacentral:rRNA from 1 species
CAGUCGCCGCGGGAAUACAGAGGAUGCAAGCGUUAUCCGGAAUGAUUGGGCGUAAAGCGUCUGUAGGUGGCUUUUCAAGUCCGCCGUCAAAUCCCAGGGCUCAACCCUGGACAGGCGGUGGAAACUACCAAGCUGGAGUACGGUAGGGGCAGAGGGAAUUUCCAGUGGAGCGGUGAAAUGCGUUGAGAUCGAAAAGAACACCAACAGCGAAAGCACUCUGCUGGGACGACACUGACACUGAGAGACGAAAGCUGGGGGAGCAAAUGGGAUUAGAUACCCCCGUAGUCCCUGUCUCUUAUAC